rnacentral:misc_RNA from 1 species
AGAGUUUGAUCAUGGCUCAGAUUGAACGCUGGCAGAAGGAUGCUUUACAUACAGAUCGAGCAGCAGCACGGACUUCGGUCUGGUGGCGAGUGGCGAACGGGUGAGUAAUGUAUCGGAACGUGCCUGAAAGUAGCGGGGGAUAACUGCGCGAAAGCGCUAAUACCGCAUACGCCCUUCGAGGAAAGCGGGGGACCUUCGGGCCUCGCACUAUUAGAGCAGCCGAUAUCGGAUUAGCUAGUUGGUGGGAGUAACGGCUCACCAAGGCGACGAUCAUCGCUGGUUUUUGAAGGACGACCAUACACUGGGACUGAGACACGGCCCAGACUCCUACGGGAGGCAGCGGUGGGGAAUUUGGACAAUGGGGGAAACCUGAUCCAGCCAUCCGUGUGCGAUGAAGGCCUUCGGGUUGUAAGCACUUUUGGCAGGAAAGAAACGGCACGGGAUAAUACCCGUGCAACUGACAAUACCUGCAGAAUAAGCACCGGCUAACUACGUGCCAGCAGCCGCGGUAAUACGUAAGUGCAAGCGUUAAUCGGAAUUACUGGGCGUAAAGCGUGCGCAGGCGGUUCCGGAAAGGAUGUAAAGAAUCCCAGAGCUUAACUUUGGAACUGCAUUUUUAACUACCGAGCUAGAGUGUGUCAGGGAGGUGGAAUUCCGCGUGUAGCAGUGAAAUGCGUAGAUAUGCGGAGGGUACACCGAUGGCGAAGGCAGCCUCUGGGAUAACACUGACGCUCAUGCACGAAAGCGUGGGAGCAAACUGGGAUUAGAUACCCUGGUAGUCGCCUAAACGAUGUCAACUGGCUGUUGGAGACCUUCGGGCCUUGGUAGCGCAACUAAC